GAUGAACGCCGACAGAAUGCUUAACACAUGCAAGUCUACUUGAACUUCGGUUUGGGUGGCGGACGGGUGAGUAACGCGUAAAGAACUUGCCUCACAGAUAGGGACAACAUUUGGAAACGAAUGCUAAUACCUGAUAUUAUGAUUUUAGGGCAUCCUAGAAUUAUGAAAGCUAUAUGCACUGUGAGAGAGCUUUGCGUCCCAUUAGCUAGUUGGAGAGGUAACGGCUCACCAAGGCGAUGAUGGGUAGCCGGCCUGAGAGGGUAAUCGGCCACAAGGGGACUGAGACACGGCCCUUACUCCUACGGGAGGCAGCAGUGGGGAAUAUUGGACAAUGGACCAAGAGUCUGAUCCAGCAAUUCUGUGUGCACGAUGAAGUUUUUCGGAAUGUAAAGUGCUUUCAGUUGGGAAGAAAAAAAUGACGGUACCAACAGAAGAAGUGACGGUUAAAUACGUGCCAGCAGCCGCGGUAAUACGUACGUCACAAGCGUUAUCCGGAUUUAUUGGGCGUAAAGCGCGUCUAGGUGGUUAUGUAAGUCUGAUGUGAAAAUGCAGGGCUCAACUCUGUAUUGCGUUGGAAACUGUGUAACUAGAGUACUGGAGAGGUAAGCGGAACUACAAGUGUAGAGGUGAAAUUUGUAGAUAUUUGUAGGAAUGCCGAUGGGGAAGCCAGCUUACUGGACAGAUACUGACGCUGAAGCGCGAAAGCGUGGGUAGCAAACAGG
rnacentral:rRNA from 1 species